UACAUAUCAUGUUUUGUGUUCUGGCAAGAAGACAUGUCUUUGGAUUUUUAUUUUUUUUCUUUUUCUAUUUUCCCUUUUGCUGCUUCUGGGCGAGGUGGCUAUUUGUUAUGAAUUCCUUCUUAAAUUACCAAGUAAAUCUGAUUAAUGUUUUAAGAUGCAUUCUGUGAAAUCCUUUUCCUCUUUUCCUUUUCUUGUUGUAUGUUAUGAAAUCCCCCUUUUUGUUAGUUGACCCAAUAACAUAUAAUCUACUGUGAGAUAAAAUUCCAUCUUUCUUUUAGGUGGUGUGGAAGAUUUGCCACUAGUGUUCUUUUCACUGUUUCUUCCUUUACCGAGUAUCUUUAAUCUCAUCUUGCACUUACCAUGAUCAGGAACUUGAAAGACCGGUUGGCCCAUAGGAAACGAUCUCGAUUGCCUCCCUCAUCCGAGAAAGCAGGUAAAAGUGAAUUGGUCUCGGAAGCAGCUGAAUGGGAAUGAUGAGGUAAUGCAAUGCAAGACCUGACAUUCAUGUAUUUUCUGAGUUCUUAUUGCAUGUUCCAAGCGGCAUGACUAUGGCUCUAGUUGUUGAGUGCGACAGUGGGAAGUCGACAGCGAUCAGCCUGUUGGAGAGGUUGUAUGAACCCCAAGCUGGUGAAGUACUCAUAGAUGACAUCAACUUGAAGAAGCCGCUGCUUGGAUGGAUCAGAGAGAAGAUUGGUCUUGUUAGCCAAGAGCCCAUCUUAUUCACAACUACUAUAAAUGAGAAUAUCGCAUAUGGUAAGGCAGGUGCUACAUUGGAAGAAAUCAGAACAGUAACUGAGAUUGCUAAUGCUGCAAGGUUUAUAGACAAGAUGCUACAGGUCACUUGCUUGUACUUUUUUUUUCGGUAAAUUCAUACUACUCUCUCAAAGAUGUUGUGGGUGGAAGGCUAGGAAAGGAAGACAUUUGUAGUUCGUUUUGGUAAAAUAA